rnacentral:sRNA from 1 species
AAACUUAACUUAUUUCUACUCCAAUGGUUAAGAACUAUUGGGUUCUUAAAAAACAACUUGGAUGAUUACUCAAUACACAACACAUGUCCUCUUCUUAGUUUUAAGAAAACAUCUUAAUUAAGAUAU